AUUUAACAUGCACCAAAGGCUGGCGUGCAGAGCUCAUUGCUGACUCAAUGUUUGAACAGCACUUUGCACUGAUACUUUAACCCCUACACGGUUGUUUUAUAAGAAAUAGAAGUACUAAAGCAAGGCUGUAAAUACACUGCUAAAACUUUUCAAACUCCUGAUGUUGAAAGGUCAUAAAAACAGACUGUAUUCAAAUCACUUCCUGUUUUGUCAGCAGAGCCGCAAGUAAGUUCCAAGUGUGAAAGUGACUGUUCAAAGUGGCAAACGCAGGAUGAAAAGGACAGCUACACAGCACUCUCAGAAAUCUACAGCAGUGAAAUCUUUGACGAAAGACUGUCAUCUGCCUCUGGGCUUUCUACAGGAUUGUUUUGGCCUUGACAUCCCUCAGCACUUAAAUUUUCAACUUAUCUGCUGCAUUUCUUCAAAUGCUGAUUUGUGGUAACUCAAAUUAUCUUAAGAGGAAGUCACCAAGGAGGAGCCCAAGAACUCGUAGCUAGAAGCUGUCAGAAGCUGCAUUUAGGGGAUUGAGAGUGGUGAGAGAAGUCUUGGAGCAAGAGUGCAGGACACCAGGGUAAAAGCCCAGUCCGUAGAAUCCUUCCCUAAGCACUUUGAACACGACGAGGUCAAAGACACUUCGCUUGGCUGGUUGAGCCUUUGGAAACCCAGUGGUAUCACCCACCAGAAGACCCAAAGCUUCAGAGUACUCACACACAGUCUUUCUCCUGGGAAGUGGUCUUUAAGAAGCUGGAGCUGGAUAUACUGAAGGAAUGAAAAUUUUCUGAGUUGACUGCACUGAUAAACCUAGAAGGAGACCAUGGAACAACUGGCUGGUCCCUGGAACUCCCUGCAUGACUGGUGAUUGCCCACGGACUUCUAAAACCGUCUUUACUCUGAAAAUGUGAAUGUUGCCCAUGACCUUCAGCUGAUGGAUGAUAUCUGGGCCUGAGAUGGCAAUAUCAGGUAUUUCUGAAGACAUCCUAGGGAAAUGUGGGGAUUGCCAUGGUGCCUCUGAGCUUACCUCUAGAACAGACAUUUUGAUAAGCACUUUUGCUUCUUUCUCUGAAUUCUAAAUCAGCCCUAGAUCGCUGGAGGAUAAUUCUGAAACAAGCCCUACCCAGUCAAUUUUCCUGAAGUUUCAUGAGGAUUCUGAAGAGCGGUAACUUGUGUUGGACUAAAACCGGGGAGGAAGGCCAAGGAGAGGAGAGCACUCAGAGGCAGCGGGUGGACAGAGGUCAUCCAGAGACUUACAGAAAAUAGGACCAAAGCCAUGGCCCCAGACAGGAGUGGCAAUCCUAAGUGCAGUUUUAGUUGCACUUUUGAGAUAAUGGAAGUACAAAAUCCGUCACUUAACCUCUUUAAACAUCAGUUUAUUCAUCUGCAAAACAUUGACAUGCUACUUCACAGCAUUCUUCACAUAUAAUAAGAAACAGCAUGUUAAAAUACUAAACAAAGCUUAAGAUGUGAUGCAAAUAUACUAUCAGAGUAGAUUGUAGAUUAUAGUUCUAUCACUUAUCUCUUUCUUAUUCAUAAGAGAAGUUCUUACGAACAUUGAGUUAAUUAUUUCUUUUCCCUCCUUAUUUAUGAGCACACAUGUCUUAUUCAAGGUUUAAAAUAUCACUUUGAAAUUAACAAGGGGUUUCACAAAUAUAGUCAUAUUCCCUAUUUGUUCACACUAUUUUGUCCCAAAAUGAUGCUUUAAAAAAAAUAAAAGAACUGCUUAUAAAAUCAUGGUACAGUCAAGACAGACUAUAAACAAAUGCUCACCAACCAACAGAAGAAAUCUAUCCUGCAAUAUAGAUGACUUUCCCAGUGUACCAUGAUAGUUCCUUUAAGCUGUUAUGAAUUAUUCCAUAAACCUGUAUUUAGAGACUUUUAAAUAUGCAGAUUAUUGGCCUGAGAAACCAUUUCAUCUCCAAAGGAACAUUUGCAGGCUGUCGUGCAAAUCUGCAUUUGAGCAACUUUCACAUUAUGAUCUUAGUGAAUUCUUGACCAGAUGGACUUGAACAGCUGCCACCCAUGCUUGGGAAGUCCCUUUGCUUGAGAAGACAAAAUAGCUCAUUUGUUUGCAAUUCUUUCCUGAAAGUACACAAGGGCAAUUUUCUACAUUGUGAAUUACUUCUAUCAGAGCAACAUUUUCCGUGAAAGAUCAUAGCUCAUUAUGCUAUUUAGAAACAAACAAACAAAAAUGCAUACAAACAUUUUUUGGGGGGAGUUUUAUAAUUUGUGCCCAGAAGGGACAAAUUUCUUUUCAGAUUAAGUUUUAAAAAAUGUUCCUUUAUUGCUGUUAUGUUCAAGCUGACAUGGAGGUUAUAACUGAGAGAACCCCCCUCUGAAAUAAUAAUGCCUUACGUUUGUAUAAUAUUUUAUACUUUUCAAAGUGCUUUCAGGCACAUUAUUUCAUUUGAUCUUCAAAACAGCUCGGUGAGGCAGGUAAAGUAGGUGUUUUUAUUCAUUUCUUUUUAGAUAAGGAAAUAGGUUCAGACUACAAAUAUUAUCCGAGUAUCUACUAACUCCAUCAUAUUGUGCAAGGUGUCACAGAGGAUAAAAUAACAUGUAUUCCUAAAAGAAGAAUCUUGGUUUUAGAUAAGACAUAACAACACAAAGUUAAAUAAUACUAAAUGUACAAUAUGGUUCAAAAGGUGACAAAAGACAAUUUAUGGUCAUAGUAUUAGAAGCAUGAGCAAACUGUAUUCUGGCAGGUUAAGGGAAACUUCUUAAAGCAGGUGCCACCCAAAUAUAUAUACCUGGAAGGAGGUUUGGAAUUUGGAUUUGGCAUCAUAAUCACCUUCUCAUAUAACCUUAAAAUAGAAGAGAUUUUGGCAUUCAUCUAGUUUGUUCUGAUACUAGAUGUUGGCACUCCCUAUAGCACCUUAAGCAAAAAUGUUGGAAUUGCUAUGAGUCUUACAAAUUCUAUCUUAUGAAACCCCAUCUCUACUAAAAAUAAAUUUUAAAAACAUUAGCCAGGCAUGGU